GGGAUUGAUGAUGACUAUUGGUGGCAUAUGAGUCCCAUACGGUGAAUACGUCUCUGUAACUCUGAGGUCCAA
ensembl:snoRNA SNORD114-18 small nucleolar RNA, C/D box 114-18